GAUGAACGCUAGCGGCAGGCCUAACACAUGCAAGUCGAGGGGUAGAGGAGGCUUGCUUCCUUGAGACCGGCGCACGGGUGCGUAACGCGUAUGCAAUCUACCUUGUACAGAGGGAUAGCCCAGAGAAAUUUGGAUUAAUACCUCAUGGUAUUAUUGAAUGGCAUCAUUUGAUAAUUAAAGUUCCAACGGUACAUGAUGAGCAUGCGUCCUAUUAGCUAGAUGGUAAGGUAACGGCUUACCAUGGCUACGAUAGGUAGGGGUCCUGAGAGGGAGAUCCCCCACACUGGUACUGAGACACGGACCAGACUCCUACGGGAGGCAGCAGUGAGGAAUAUUGGACAAUGGGCGCAAGCCUGAUCCAGCCAUGCCGCGUGCAGGAAGACGCAUCUAUGGUGUGUAAACUGCUUUUGUACGGGAAGAAACACUCCCUCGUGAGGGAGCUUGACGGUACCGUAAGAAUAAGGAUCGGCUAACUCCGUGCCAGCAGCCGCCGUAACAC
rnacentral:rRNA from 1 species